rnacentral:rRNA from 1 species
CCGUACCGAAACCGACACAGGUAGGCGGGGAGAGAAUCCUAAGGUGCGCGGGACAACCCUCGUUAAGGAACUCGGCAAAUUGUAUCCGUAACUUAGGGAUAAGGAUAGCCGGAGGAUGUGAAGGGAUUUACUUCUGAGCGUCAGCCGGUGGCACAAGAGAGGCCCAAGCGACUGUUUAGCACAAACACAUGUGCCUGCAAAAGAGAAAUCUGACGUAUAGGUGCUGACACCUGCCCGGUGCUGG